UACGUAGGGUGCAAGCGUUAAUCGGAAUUACUGGGCGUAAAGCGUGCGCAGGCGGUCGUUCAAGUCGAAUGUGAAAUCCCCUGGCUUAACUGGGGGCGUCAUUCGAUACUGGUCGACUUGAAGGCAGGAGAGGGAAGCGGAAUUCCCGGUGUAGUGGUGAAAUGCGUAGAUAUCGGGAGGAACACCAGUGGCGAAGGCGGCUUCCUGGCCUGUUCUUGACGCUGAGGCGCGAAAGCCAGGGGAGCAAACGGG
rnacentral:rRNA from 1 species